rnacentral:tmRNA from 1 species
GGGGACGAAAUUGGUUUCGACUGUUGUUGUCAGGGAUUAUGUGGCGUGUAGAGGUUGUAGGCUCCUCUCAAAACCUUCAAACAAUAACCGCUAAUAACGAAUUAGCCCUAGCAGCUUAAUCACUGCUACGGAACCUUGGUUCUUUCUCCUGAGGGCCAAACGUUCUGACACUUUUCGGGAGGCGUCUCUUUUGGUUUUCGGUUCCUGAGAGAGAUCGUAUUCGAGCUGAAUAGGAAAGAGAGUCCUGUCUGUGGGUUAAACUCGAUCCGACAACUUUAUACAUAGACUACACACGUAGAGGCUAAUCUGGGGCGCAAUAGGACGCGGGUUCGAACCCCGCCGUCUCCAUCG